UCAGCUGUAGAAAAACCGUACCGCAAACCGACACAGGUAGGCAGGGUGAGAAUCCCAAGGCGCUUGAGAGAACUCGGGUGAAGGAACUAGGCAAAAUGGCACCGUAACUUCGGGAGAAGGUGCGCCUCUUGGUGUGGUCACGUGCGUGACUGAGCAUCGAGGGGUCGCAGUAACCUGGCCGCUGCGACUGUUUAUCAAAAACACAGCACUCUGCAAACACGAAAGUGGACGUAUAGGGUGUGACGCCUGCCCGGUGCUGGAAGGUUAAUUGAUGGGGUCAGCCGCAAGGCGAAGCUCUUGAUCGAAGCCCCAGUAAACGGCGGCCGUAACUAUAACGGUCCUAAGGUAGCGAAAUUCCUUGUCGGGUAAGUUCCGACCUGCACGAAUGGCGUAACGUCAUCGGCGCUGUCUCCACCCGAGACUCAGUGAAAUUGAAAUCGCUGUGAUGAUGCAGCGUUCCCGCGGCAAGACGGAAAGACCCCGUGAACCUUUACUAUAGCUUUACACUGAACGUUGAGUUCUUCUGUGUAGGAUAGGUGGGAGGCUAUGAAACCAGGACGCUAGUUCUGGUGGAGCCAUCCUUGAAAUACCACCCUGAAGUGCUUGACGUUCUAACCUAGGUCCGUAAUCCGGAUCGGGGACCGUGUAUGGUGGGUAGUUUGACUGGGGCGGUCUCCUCCCAAAGAGUAACGGAGGAGCACGAAGGUACGCUCAGCGCGGUCGGACCUCGCGCACUGUGUGCAAAGGCAUAAGCGUGCUUGACUGCGAGAUCGACGGAUCAAGCAGGUACGAAAGUAGGUCUUAGUGAUCCGGUGGUUCUGUAUGGAAGGGCCAUCGCUCAACGGAUAAAAGGUACUCCGGGGAUAACAGGCUGAUACCGCCCAAGAGUUCAUAUCGACGGCGGUGUUUGGCACCUCGAUGUCGGCUCAUCACAUCCUGGGGCUGUAGCCGGUCCCAAGGGUAUGGCUGUUCGCCAUUUAAAGUGGUACGCGAGCUGGGUUCAGAACGUCGUGAGACAGUUCGGUCCCUAUCUGUCGUGGGCGUUGGAGAUUUGAGGGGGGCUGCUCCUAGUACGAGAGGACCGGAGUGGACGUUCCGCUGGUGUUCGGGUUGUCAUGCCCAUGGCAUUGCCCGGUAGCUACGAACGGAAGUGAUAACCGCUGAAAGCAUCUAAGCGGGAAGCACGCCCCAAGAUGAGAUCUCCCGAGAGCUUGACUCUCCUAAAGGCACCAUCAAGACUAGGUGGUUGAUAGGCACGGUGUGGAAGUGCAGCAAUGCAUUGAGCUUACGUGUACUAAUGAGCCGUGAGGCUUGACCAA
rnacentral:rRNA from 1 species